ensembl:lncRNA novel transcript
CAAUUUAUAUUCUACUGGCAAUGUAUAAGAACAGCUAGCAACUGAGUAUUUUCACUGUGUAUUUUGUCUGUGUAAAAAGGCUGAUGCUAUGACUACAGAAAAACAUUUCAUGGGAAUGGUUCCUGCAAGCAUAGAAUACCAGUUAACAAAGAGUGAAGAGGACACUAUCAUCAUCAUCAUCAACAUCAUCAUCAUCAUCAUUAUUAUUUGCCUGAAGGCCCAGAGUACACCGUAAUGGAGUACUGCUGAUGGGAAAGGAAUUAGCAUUGACCUCUCAGGAGGUUAAUUUGGGAGUUUAGCUCAUGAUCUAGUAAUUCUGCUUCUGGAAGUUUAUGAGAAGGAAGUGCUCUAAUAUGUGCGCCUGUGUGAUCGCUGGGCUUUAGCAUUUUAGGGGUGAGCCAACUGUAUCUCAGAGGUGGCCAUGUCUUGCAUUGAGGAGAGAGAGCACCUGCGAGAACUUCCAUGCUAUAUUCUAUUUGGGAAGAACUUGAACCUUGCAUAACGUAAACGAAGAGAAUUAACAAGAAUUUGUGGCACCCCUUCUGUGUCAGUUCUUCUUCCAGAUAAUAGGAAUAUAGCAAUAAACAAAACAGACCAGGUUCCUGCCCUCAUGGGGGAAAGAGGCAAUCUAAAAAUGAAAAAUGGGCCAGGCGCGGUGGCCCACGCCUGUAAUCCCAGCACUUUCGGAGGCCAAGGUGGACGGAUUACCCAAGGUCAGGAGUUCAAGACCAGCCUGGCCAACAUGGCGAAACCCCAUCUCUACUAAAAAUACAAAAAUUAGCUGGGCGUGGUGGCACGUGCCUGUAAGGCCAGCUACUCGGGAGGCUGAGGCAGGAGAAUUGCUUGAACCCAGGAGGUGGAGGUUGUAGUGAGCUGAGAUUGUGCCAUUGCACUCCAGCCUGGACGACAGAGCGAGACUUCAUCUCAAAAUAAAUAAAUAAAUAAAUAUAAAGAUGAAAAA